UCUAAACACAAUUCAAGAGGUCGAUGG
rnacentral:sRNA from 1 species